GGCGUGCUUAACACAUGCAAGUCGAACGAACCUUCGGGUUAGUGGCGGACGGGUGAGUAACGCGUGGGAAUCUGCCCUCAGGAGGGGGAUAACGGCCGGAAACGGCCGCUAAUACCCCAUAUGCCGAGAGGUGAAAUGAAUUUCGCCUGAGGAUGAGCCCGCGUCUGAUUAGCUAGUUGGUGUGGUAAUGGCGCACCAAGGCGACGAUCAGUAGCUGGUCUGAGAGGAUGAUCAGCCACACUGGGACUGAGACACGGCCCAGACUCCUACGGGAGGCAGCAGUGGGGAAUUUUCCGCAAUGGGCGAAAGCCUGACGGAGCAACGCCGCGUGAGGGAUGAAGGCCUCUGGGCUGUAAACCUCUUUUCUCAAGGAAGAAGACAUGACGGUACUUGAGGAAUAAGCCACGGCUAAUUCCGUGCCAGCAGCCGCGGUAAUACGGGAGUGGCAAGCGUUAUCCGGAAUUAUUGGGCGUAAAGCGUCCGCAGGCGGCCUUGUAAGUCUGUCGUUAAAGCGUGGAGCUUAACUCCAUUUCAGCGAUGGAAACUACAAGGCUUGAGUGUGGUAGGGGCAGAGGGAAUUCCCGGUGUAGCGGUGAAAUGCGUAGAUAUCGGGAAGAACACCAGUGGCGAAGGCGCUCUGCUGGGCCAUAACUGACGCUCAUGGACGAAAGCCAGGGGAGCGAAAGGGAUUAGAUACCCCUGUAGUCCUGGCCGUAAACGAUGAACACUAGGUGUCGGGGGAAUCGACCCCCUCGGUGUCGUAGCUAACGCGUUAAGUGUUCCGCCUGGGGAGUACGCACGCAAGUGUGAAACUCAAAGGAAUUGACGGGGGCCCGCACAAGCGGUGGAGUAUGUGGUUUAAUUCGAUGCAACGCGAAGAACCUUACCAGGGUUUGACAUCCUGCGAAUCCCUUGGAAACGAGGGAGUGCCUUCGGGAGCGCAGAGACAGGUGGUGCAUGGCUGUCGUCAGCUCGUGUCGUGAGAUGUUGGGUUAAGUCCCGCAACGAGCGCAACCCACGUCUUUAGUUGCCAGCAUUCAGUUGGGCACUCUAGAGAGACCGCCGGUGAUAAACCGGAGGAAGGUGUGGAUGACGUCAAGUCAUCAUGCCCCUUACAUCCUGGGCUACACACGUACUACAAUGCUACGGACAAAGGGUUGCAAGCUCGCGAGAGUUAGCUAAUCCCAUAAACCGUGGCUCAGUUCAGAUCGUAGGCUGCAACUCGCCUACGUGAAGGAGGAAUCGCUAGUAAUCGCAGGUCAGCAUACUGCGGUGAAUACGUUCCCGGGCCUUGUACACACCGCCCGUCACACCAUGGAAGUUGGCCAUGCCCGAAGUCGUUACUCCAACCCUUGUGGAGGAGGACGCCGAAGGUGGGGCUGAUGACUGGGGUGAAGUCGUAACAAGGUAGCCGUACCGGAAGGUGCGGCUGGAUCACCUCCUAA
rnacentral:rRNA from 1 species